rnacentral:rRNA from 1 species
AGAGUUUGAUCCUGGCUCAGGACGAACGCUGGCGGCGUGCUUAACACAUGCAAGUCGAACGGGAUUUAGUAAACAGAAGCCUCGGUGGAAGAUUACUAAUGAGAGUGGCGAACGGGUGAGUAACGCGUGAGCAACCUGCCUAUGACAGUGGGAUAGCCUCGGGAAACCGGGAUUAAUACCGCAUAAAAUCGUAGAAACACAUGUUUUAACGGUCAAAGAUUUAUCGGUCAUAGAUGGGCUCGCGUCUGAUUAGCUAGUUGGUGAGAUAACAGCCCACCAAGGCGACGAUCAGUAGCCGGUCUGAGAGGAUGAACGGCCACAUUGGAACUGAGACACGGUCCAAACUCCUACGGGAGGCAGCAGUGGGGAAUAUUGCACAAUGGGGGAAACCCUGAUGCAGCGACGCCGCGUGAACGAAGAAGGUAUUCGUAUCGUAAAGUUCUGUCCUAUGGGAAGAUAAUGACAGUACCAUAGAAGAAAGCUCCGGCUAAAUACGUG